CACGUAGGCACCAAGCGUUGUCCGGAUUUAUUGGGCGUAAAGAGCUCGUAGGCGGUUCAGUGAGUCGGGUGUGAAAACUCAGGGCUUAACCCUGAGACGCCACCCGAUACUGCUGUGACUAGAGUGUGGUAGGGGAGCGGGGAAUUCCUGGUGUAGCGGUGAAAUGCGCAGAUAUCAGGAGGAACACCAGUGGCGAAGGCGCCGCUCUGGGCCAUUACUGACGCUGAGGAGCGAAAGCGUGGGUAGCAAACAGGAUUAGAAACCCCCGUAGUCC
rnacentral:rRNA from 1 species